CUUGAAUUCAGAAAUCUUCCUGCCUCUGCCUCCUAAGUGCUGGGAUUAAAGGCGUGUACCACCACUGCCUGGGUCUUUUUUAUGUCUUUAAGGCAGUCUUUCAUGGAGGGUUGGCCUUAAACCGGUUGUAUGCAGAAGGAUGACCUUGAACUCCUGAUUCUCCUGCUGCUGCUUCUGGAAUUAUGCCAACACAUCCAGCUCUUAGCUUUAAAUACCUAUUUUUAUUUUAUGUACAUUGAGUGUUUUGGCUGCAUGUGUGUUAGCAUGUUGUAUAUGUUGUGCCUGGAGUCAGUCCCGGAUCCUAACCACUGAACCAUCUCUCCAACACCAGCUCAAAAGGAAUGAAAGCUUGCUCAAGCCUGCCUUGGGGUCAGAGCGUUUUAAGAGUUCAUAUUUGUGACCCACUAAUCUUGUAUCCUUCAAGAAGUAAUUAAAGUGUAUUUUUUCCAGUCUUCAUUACUUCUGAACUCAAGCAAGAUGUCACUUGGGUGCUUUUGCCUUAGUUUGACCUUUUAUAGCCUCCACCUCAGAGCCAGCUUUAGAGACAGACAUUCUCUGGAUUCCAGUCUGGUCCAAUAGACAGUUGAGUGAGGGGAAAAAAAAACCAAGAGCUAAAUGAUGUAUUAAAUUAAGUGUAUUUAUCAAGUGUUCCCCGGAGCAGUGUUCAGUUUGAUUUGAAGUGACUCCGAUUCCUGAGGGAGAGAGUAGAGAGAAAAGACAGUUUCAUUAAUGGCUUUUGACUCCACAGAACAAAGCUCUGUAAAGAGAAUCAGUUGAAGGCUUGGCAUCCUGGCUCAGGCAGGCACUUCUUUCUGUUAGUUUUUGUCUUAUACCGAGUUGGACUUGGGGGUAAUUUGGCAAUUAUAGAACUCAGGCUGUUUGCCCUGGUUCCUGCCUGUUAUGGUAAUCUCUGUUGAGAUAAAGUGGGCACCUAAAGGCUUUACUUAAGCCCUAAAUCUGCUUUUGUGUUUUUCUUUUGACAAGUACUAGCUCUGGGUAUAGGUCAGGUUUUAAUGAAAUUCUUAGCAGUUGCCUGGCUGAGAUCUAAUAGGUUAAAGGAAAAUGGUAUGGUUGGUUAUAAAGAAGAUGGAGGCUCUCUGCACUAUGACCUUCCUCCCCCUCACCUGAGACUGGGGUUCUAUUGCAGCUUUGACUGUCGUGGAGCUUACUCUAUAGACCAGGAUGGCUUCAAAUUCCCAGAGUUUCAUCUGUCUUGGCUUCCCAAGUGCUGAGAGAGGUAGGGCCUUUGACCUCCCUUCUGGAGGCUUCUCCUGUCACCGCUCCCCAGAUGGACUCAGUGUCUCAUGAGCACUGAGCAGGGGAGCUCUUUGGGCAGUGUGCACAAAGAUGUCAUCUGGGUAGAGACUAAUGAGGGUAUCUUGUUUUUUUCUUCUGAGUUCCCCCCAAAUUUCUCUCAGUGAUUCCUAAUUCAGUCAGUUUUCUAGUUAGAUUGUGGAGGUUCAUGAGUUUACAUAUGUGUGAUAAGUACAAAACCUGAACACUGCUUUUUGCCCUAAAGUUGUGGUUUUCAAUGCUGCAGCCCUUCAGUAUGUACGGUUCCUCAUGUAUUGAGACCCCCAGACAUAAUACUAUUUUUGCUGUUCCUUUAUAACUCUAUUUUUGCUACUGUUAUGAAUCAUAAUAUAAUAUCUGGUAUGCAGGACAUAUGAGAUACAACCCCAGAGGUCACAACCCACAAGGUGAGAGCUGCCCUUGAGUAUGAAUGUCCUUAGAGAGUAAGGAAGAGAGGCUAGUGUUUGGUUUGCUUUGCUUUGUUUUCAGUGCAGGGGAUCUAACUUGAUACAUACAAGGCAAGUUUUUACAGCUCAGUGUAUACACGCCCCCAGUUCUUAGUGUUUUUAAAAAUGUGCCCUUUGAUCCAGUGGGGAGACAGUCCACCUAUUGCAUUGAUACAAAAAAAAAAAAAAAA